rnacentral:lncRNA from 1 species
AUAGUCUGUUUCCCGGCCGUUAUUGAAAUUCUUGACAAUACCGUCCGGUAUGGGCUAAUUUUACUAUUUGAAAUGAACGAUCUCGAGCAUGCGCAGUUACGCAUUGUUGUUCCUCUUUGCCGCUUCGAAGAUGGUAGUGGGUUACAGAAAGCCACGAUACAGGUGAGUGGAGUAAUUUCAAGUUGCCCAAAUUGAAAGUAAGAUAGCCAAAACUCACCCAAUUCGUGUGGUAUAAUUUUUUGUAACAAUUAUUGAUCGCCCACUAAUGGGCAAGCUUUUGAAGUGGCCGCUAGGCCCUUCUUUUUGUGUCAAACUCGCAACUUUAGCCCAAAAAAUUGUUAAAAACAACUUUGCAAGCAUUCUAAGUAAAACAUAAACAUAUUGCUGGUUUUUUUGUCAGCAUUGACGUAAAAAAUCAGUAAUUUCCUCUAUUUUCACAAAGAAAGAUUUGUACAAGUUGUGUUUUUAUGAUGUGAAACCUGGGGCAGGGGGCUCAAAAAUUUAAAGGCGUACACAGACUGUCAGAAGCAAUUUGAGAAGCAGUGAUCACUGGUGAUCCUCAAAACAUGUCUACAACUCAAAGACCUGGGUUUAUAGUGGACCCGGAUUCGUUAUGUUAUGGUAGACCCCCCUCCAAAAAAAGGGGGGUGUCAUAUUUAUAUAGAGGCAUACACAGCUACAUCAAGUGAAAUUUUGGAAAGAAGUACAAAUGUACAAGCCUAAGAUAAAAAAAAAAACAUAUUGAUAAAUUUAGUAAAGGUUCUCAGGCUGUCUGUAAUCGAUAACACUUUUUGUUAGUCCAAAUAAUUAUAAGGUAUUGAAAGGCUUUUAUAAUUUUGUUUGCUUUAAAGCCUUUCAGCAAUGUAUUACAAACUUUGUGUGACCCUCAAAAUAUCAGACAAUAAAUCAUUCGGUCAUACAAACCCUAAAACAGUGGGGCACAUAUUAAUGCUUACAGCACAACCACCAGAAAUUUCCACAUUUUUCCUUCUUUAGACCCUCAAAAAUUAUUUUACUAAAUUUGUAUCUAUUUUUAAUUUACAUGUACCAAACUCAGACAUUGGGCUUGUGACUCAAGGCAGACUUUUGCAAGGCAAAAUAUGCAUACCCUUCGAACAUGUACAUCCAUGGUUUGUAAUUGUUUACAUUUUUCUGUCAGUUAAAUUUUUGGCCUUUUUAAUUCAAUGUAAUUUAUCUUUGUUAAAACAACAUAUCUCAUUAAAGUGUACAAUCAUAGGCGGUUCCAGAGGGGCGGUCCUGUGGGGCCCCACUUUCGUGAGAAAAAUUUUGUUGAUUAUAUAGGGAAUCACUGAAGCAUGACUGGAGAGGGUACCCCCUUUAGUUCAGUCAGUGGGCCCCCCUUAUGAAAAGUUCUGGAUCCGCCACUGACAAUAAUACAUGUAUAUACAUGUAUACAGAAAUAGACCUCAACUUUCACAUUAAUAUGAUUUAAAAUAUCAUCGUUUGAAGCUUGUCAAAUCAGAGGCGGAGUUGGAGGGUUUUUCAGGUGGCCGGGCUAUUCCUUAUUUCCUUAUGCUUGGAAAAAUAUAGGGAAUCACUGAAGCAUGACUUGAACAGUCCCUCUUAAGCAGUCAGUGCCUCCCCCCCUUUCUGGGGAAAAAUUUUGUUGAUUAUAUAGGGAAUCAUUGAAGCAUGACUGGAGCCCCCCUUAGGUCAGUCAGCAUGCCCCCCCUUCCUCUUUUCUGAUUUUUUUUGGAAACGCCACUGAAAAUUAUAUAAAACAAACACUGAAACAGUAUUUAGAAAAAUUGUCAGUGUCUGUUUACAUGUAGAUGUGCACAUUGGUUUUCAACCCUAAAAAUUAGUUGAAAAGGCUCAACUCAUCAGAUGAUCAUCAUGUAUGUUUCAGUAAUAUUCAUACAUCAUGUACAUUGUACUUGCAAACUUUUCAAAAUUUUUAGUGAGCUUGCAUAUGUAAAGUGUAUCAAGAAAAUUUCAUCUUUUCACUGCUUGACUCGCCAUGUAAAAAAAAAAUCUGUAGUGAGAAUCCUGAUAAUGGUCAUCCUCCUCUAACAAUGUAUAUUGUCACAAGUGUUUUAAUCUAAAGUACUAACUAUAUUGUUUAAGCUUAAACAUCCUUUUAAAUCAUUUGAAUAUCUGUUUUAAAUAUCAUUGUUUAUAUAAUAGAGUAUGAAAAUUCAGGUCAACAAAUCUCAUGAGGGAAUUUGAAAGAAAGCAGGUCUUGAAAUUUGUUUAUAUUCCAUAGAUCUAAAACUUGCUUUGAUUAAAAGACAAUUUUAUUGACCUCACUUUGAAUUUGUGUUAUCUGAAUUUUUGAAAUCAAUGUUUAUAGUUGAAUUGUCUUUCAGAAAUGGUCUACCAGUAUUUGACACGAGAGGGCCUAGGUACAGUAGGACUAGCUUUCUUACAUGUAUGUCAGAGGGAUGACCCUAGUAAAAAGGUCUGACAUUCCAUACCUGAUAAUGAAAGAAAACACCAGAAACUAUUUACUGAGGUGAUUUUAAAUAAACUAAAUGGGAUUUCAUAUAUGAACAUAAUUAGUCCCUGGUUCAUAAAUAUUGUACAGUAUAUUUAAAGUACAAUAAAAUUAAAUCACUUAGUCUAGUGUUUUAUUUAUACUACUAGUACUUUUAAAAUUGGUGAUUAUUAAAGAAAGACAACUCUUACUUCCAACAUUUCUGGACAAAAUGUUACUUGAAUCAGUGAUUUAAGAUCACCCAUUUCAGUCUAACUGAUAUAUACAAGUAUGUACAAGUAUUUAUAUACAUGUAUAAACUUGUAAGGUUAAAAAAAUAAGCUAGUUUUUCGAUUUUACCUGUAUAAGAAUGAUUUUUUUGUGGAUCGAAUCAGUCAAUCUAAUGAUUUACCUUUAUUUCACUUUCAAUGUUGACAUUCUUUUCUAAUAACUGAUUAAUAGCCUAACACACAUCAACCAUGCAUAAUCCAUUUCUAGCUAAGGGUUUAAUUGAAGAUCACAUGAAUAGGGAUUCAAUGAGGUUGAAUUAUUCACUUGCAAGUGUCUUAAUUCAUCAUCAGUGUUUCUUAGCUUAAUCACAAGUCAGAAAUAUGAAAUUUUACCUCUGCCAAAUGAUAAAUCACAAGUCAGCAUUUUUUUUUAAUUGCUGCAUUAAAAAUAUCAGAAAAUACCAUGACAUAUAACAAGAAGAGAUAUAUAUACAAAAUGUAUAAAAACUAGAAGGGGAUUUUUUUCCAUGCCACAUUAAUGGACAUGAUGUAUGCAUAAUUUUUUGUUUUACAUACAUUGUACAUCAACAUUUAUUAUAUACAUGUACAAUAAUAUGUUACUUUUUUCUUUCAGGAACAAUGAUAAACAAGUGAACUGAUGGUUAAAA